UCUCCCUCUCCCUCUCCCUGACAUCAGUUUCUCACCCUCGCCCCCAAAUCCCAUGGUCCCAGACCAUAAGGACAACGCCACUGCCGCAAACCACCAAGCACUGAAGCCCAGCCUUCUGCCAACCAGCCGGCUCCCAACACCUCACCAGACCACCGCAGGAAGCCACCAGUCGUGCCUAGCUGCAGCAAGAUGGGACAGCCCCCACGGCCCAGCCCCUCCGUGUCCUCAAACGGAAACCAACCCACGACAUGCUCCUCCACGCCAACAGCCCCAUUUCCACCGGGGAGCACCAUGGGAACAACCGACGGCAAACCCACGAAAACCACCUCACGGACAUGCACCACCCACCGUAAAUUUAAACGAGAAAAGGCCCUGUUUCAAGCACCCAAAAACAAAGCAGCGCUGGGACUGUUUAUCCACUCAUCCAUCGUGCAACAGAAACCACCCCAUCCCCGACGCCCACUGCGCAGCUCCUCCACAGCACUGCCUUGCACCACCGUACCCACACUCAGCCUCUUUGUCCCCUGUUUGAACUCCCCGAAGCAGAGCAUCUUUUGUUCCCUAGCUCUCGGUUCCGUUAGGUGCCACCAGCCACGACAGCAGCCCUCCACGUCGCCUCCACUUGCAGAGAAGGUACUGCCGACCACCUCCCAUCACCCAGUUGCUUUUCCUCUAGUGCAGUGCCGCCGCGUGACCACCUUCGACCGCUCCCACCUCCCUGCUCUUUGCGCCGCGCCUCCUCUCUCGGUAAGUAUUGGAAUCCUCAGUCGCAUAUUUUUUUGGUCUAGAGCAUUUCACAACUCAGUUUUC